rnacentral:ncRNA from 1 species
GUUCAAAUGAGGAAAGGCUUACGAUGGAUAUUUAGGCACCUAGAGAUGAGGAAGGGCAUAGUAAGAGACGAAAUGCUUCGAGGAGUUGAAAAUAAACAUAGAUCCUGAAAUUCCCGAAUAGGUCAACCUUUCGAACUGCUGCUAAAUCUAUGGUUAGACAAGAAACGACCUGGCAAACUGAAACAUCUUAGUAGUUGAAGGAAAAGAAAGCAAAAGUGAUUCUUGUAGUAGCGGCGAGCGAAAUGGGAGCUGCCUAAACUGUGAAAACGGGGUUGUGGGAGAGUAAUAAAAGCAUUGUACUGCUAAGCAAAACGAUGAAGUGCUAAACCCUUGAUGGCGAUAGUCUGGUAGCCGAAAACAUCAUUAGCUUAUGCUCUAACCCAAGUAGCAUGGGGCACAUGGAAUCCCGUGUGAAUCAGCAAGUGCCACCUUGCAAGGCUAAAUACUCUUGGGUGACCGAUAGCGAAGUAGUACUAUGAGGGAAGGGUGAAAAGAAUUCUUGUCGGGGAGUGAAAUAGAACAUGAAACCCUAUGCUCCCAAGCAGUAGGAGGAGCCCAGGGCUCUGACCGCAUGCCUGUUGAAGAAUGAGCCGACGACUCAUAGGCAGUGUGUAACAACCCAUUUUUAGUGAAAUCGAAACAGUGGUUUCGGGACCACAAAUCUGAGGUCAAAAAAUUUAUUUUUAUCUUAUUUUAUGAUCUACAGUAUAAUAGCAUUAUUGUAUAAACAUUUCGUUAAGAAAUUUUAUCUUUUAUGUGUUCAAUUUUUGAAAAAGGAUUAAAUCGUGUAAAGUACGAAAGUUGUGUUCUAUUAGCUAAAGGUAUUAAAUAGCUAUAGAAAUUUAAAGUGGAGGUCCUUAUACGGUAAUUAGACCAUUAAACGAGUUAGUGGAUGUGCAUGGCUUGGUAAUUGUGAAAUUUUUAAAUUUAGGUAAGGGUAAUUUGGUAAAAAGGUAAUUAAAGAUAAAAUAAUCAAAAAAAUUAAAGCUAUCAUCUUUCAUUCUCUUCUCCAACCGAUUUUUACAGCAAAGAAUAGCCAUGGAUGCUUGAAAUUUUUGCCUAAGCAAAUCCCUUGCAUGUAAGUGAUAUCUUGUCUCGUUUUUGUUUAUUUUUAUAUUUAUGGGAUCGUUGUAGCUUAACCUAGCUAAUUAGGGGACUAAUUUGCAAAAUGAUUGAAAUUCUAGGGUUUUAACAUGAGAGCAUUUCAGUUUUUUGUGAAGUUUAGUGGAAGAAAAUGAAUCUUUGUUGAGAAUUAAAUAACUUUUGUUAAGUGAUUUUUAAUGAAAUUGUCAAUUAGGGGUUAAAUUGAGAAAUGUGUAAAUUGUGUGGUAAAUGUGUGAAAUUAUGAAAUGUAUGGGUUGCUAUAAGUAUAUAUUAAAUUCAACUAGGCUUGGUUAUGAGGGAAAUUGCAUGAAUUUCAUUUUAUGAGCCUAGGGACUAAAUUGUAAAGAAAUCAAAAGUAUAGGGGCAAAAUAGUAAUUUUUCAAAACAUAAUUUUUGGAUUGAAUUGAAUAGAUAGGGGUUUAAAUUAGUUAAAUUUGAUUUAUAAAUCAAGAAAAGCAACGUACAGAUUUAGAUCGGGGAAAGGACAAAGUUUUGGAUUAAACGAUCGUUUUUCUCUGCACGAGUUUGAGCUAAGUUCGUGUAAUUAAAUUAUGCAUUUAUAUGCUUUAAAUUGAAAUAUAUGCAUGUGGAUUGUGUAAUUACUAGGUAUAAUUAUCGAGCGCAAAAUCGACGACGUACGAAAAAUAUUGAGCCCCGUUUGCACAUUAAGAAUUCGUAAGAUACAAAUGACCAAUUCUAGCUCUUAUCAGCUUACCGAUACUCCACUCGUAUAAGCUUACCACUAUUCAGUUUAGAGGAACUUAUUGAUACUCAACUCGUAUGAGCUUACCGUUAUUCAGCUCAGAAGAGCUUACCGUUUAUAACUCAUAUAAGCAUAUAUGUACAAUAAUUGACGAAUUACAGUUCACUACACCUUGUGUGUACUACCCACUAAUGAUAUUCUAAGUGGUUCAACAAGUGCAAUUUUGUUACGAGUUUAUAUGAGUUUGAUACAAACUAGUACAGGUAUUUACGUGAAUUAUAUGGAAAUGGUUUAUAUAUAUAAUAUAUACAGAUACAUGGUAUAAAUGUUACAUGUAUAUGGAAUUUAAAUAGUUGUUGAGCUUAUACAUAAUUCUCAGUUUUAUAUGAAUUACAUGACUAACUUAGUUAGUGAUCAUGUGUUAGGCUUUGGCCAAAUUGAAUUGUGUUAUGCUUUGAGUUGUUUACCUAAAUUGUGGUUAAAUGGUAAGUUAAAUUCUGUGUUAUAGAACUUACUAAGCUUAAUUGGUUACUCUAGUUAUUUUUCUGUGUUUUAUAGUGUUUCGGAAGCUCAUUCGGAUUGGAAGUUGUCGGAGAUCUCAUCACAUUAUCAAACGCUAUUUUGGUACUUUUGACUUUAUAUUUUGGUUAAAUGGCAUGUAUAGGUCAUUUUGGCUAAUGGUAGCCUAUAUAUUUUGUUGUGUUUUAGCCAUUUCAAUUGGCUUGUAUUGUGGACAUACUUUUUGUUAUGUAAAUAUGUAAAUAGCCUUAUUGUAUGUGGUGCAAUGGUUGCCAUAGGAAUGCCUUGUUUAUGAAUUGGUAUUUUGGGUACCAAAUAAUUGAGAUUGAUGAGUGACAUGCAUGCUAAGUAUUAGGCACAAAUAUGCAUAUAUGUGUAUAAUCAUCUAGGUAGAUUUUGGAGACAUAUUUGACAUGUUAUAAAUGGCCUAUUGAGGUGUCUAUAAGUAACAUGGUUGUAUGUGAUGUUAUAAUAUGUGGUAAGCUUGAUAUUGCUUGGCCUUGAAUGCCUAUUUAUGUAAUGGUUAUGUGCAAGUUCUUGUGUUUAGGUUGGUACCAAUUUUGGGUGAGAAAUAUGACUUGGAAAAUGGCCAAUUUUGUCUACACGGGCAGAGACACAGGCGCGUGUCUCAGCCAUGUGUCCCCUAUAAUUUCUAUAGGAAGCAAAUCAGUAGCUUCACAUGGCCUAGCACACAGACGUGUGGCUUGACUAUGUGGCACAAGUCAGUAUUCCCUUCACUUUUCACACAGCCUAGCACACAGUCUGGCACAUGGGUGUGUGAGGCCGUUUCGAAGGGUACAAGGCCUGGCACAUGGGCGUGCGGUCUGGCUGUGUAAACCAAGUUAAUGAGUUACACGGGUACGGGCACGAGCUGGGACAAAACCGUGUGUCCCUAUUUCGAAAGCCCAUACGACUGGAGAUACGGGCGUGUCUUUUGGCCGUGUGAGACACACAGCUUGGCCACAUGAACAUGUGUCCCUUACACUUUGAAAAAUUUCAAUGUUUACCUAAAAAUUCUUGAGUACUCGGUUCAGUCCCGAACCAUUUUUAAUGUUUAAUUUGGGCCUCAAGGGCUCGUAUUAGGGACUAUAUGAUUGAAUAUGAAUGGUUUUUUAUUUGAAUGAGAAAUGAAUAUGAAAUGUUUGAUUGUUUGAUUUGUAAGUUCGGUAAUGCUUCAUAACCCUGUUUCGGAGUUGGAUACAAGUUAGGGGUAUUACAAAGUGGCUUGGUUAAGGGAACCCACUGGAGCCAUAGCGAAAACGAGUCUUCAUUGGGCAAUUUUCACUAUUUAUGGACUCGAACCUAGGUGAUCUAUCCAUGACCAAGAUGAAGCUUGUGUGAAACUAAGUGGAAGUCCGAACCGACUGAUGUUGAAGAAUCAGCGAAUGAGUUGUGGUUAGGAGUGAAAUGCCAUUUGAACCCAGAGCUAACUGGUUCUCCCUGAAAUGCAUUAAAGCGCAACAUUUGACAGGACAUCUAGGGGUAAAGCAUUGUUUCGGUGUGGGCCGCGAGAGCGAUACCAAAUCAAGGCAAACUCUGAAUACUAAAUAUGACCACAAAAUAACAGGGCCGAGGUCGACCAGUAAGACGAUGGGGGAUAAGCUUCAUCGUUGAGAGGGAAACAACCUGAAUCACCAACUAAGGCCCAUAAAUGAUUGCUUAGUGAUAAAGGAGGUAGGGGUGCAGAGACAACCAAGAGGUUUGCCCAGAAGCAGCCACCCUUGAAAGAGUGCGUAAUAUAGCUCACUGUUCGAGCACUUUUAUGCCGAAAAUUAACAGGGCUAAACGAUUUGCCGAGGCUAUGGGAUGUAAAAAUGCAUCGGUAAGGAGCAUUCCGCCUUAGGGGGAAGCACCCAUGUGAGCGGGAAUAAACGAAGUGGAAGCGAAUGAAUGUUGAUGGGUAUUAAUUAAUUUAUCUGUUCUU